rnacentral:lncRNA from 1 species
GAUGAUGAUGAUACUCCUAAAAAAAUACCUUCUUCAUUAUAGUGGCCAAAGGACUCUUCAGUAUUUGGAAGAAGCCAAAAUCAUGUUAUUUCAUAUGGGUACAUGAUUGCAAAUUGGAUUGAAAUUUGGUCAACUCUUCUAAGACUCUUCUUUACAUUUAUACUCAACACAUAAAAGGUCAGUUCCUUUGAGUUUUCUUUGUGGUUGUUAUAGGCGACAGAGCCUAUAAUGUGGUUGUUAUAGGGGAGAGAGCCUAUAAAUGUGUGGUUCACUGUGGAACCCAUGUCAGACAGAGGUUCACAUACUUGCUGUUCAGCUUGGGAUUUUGGAUGGUGUCUGAAUCUGCAAUUGGCUACUGUUGAUGUGCUUUCAUUUGGUUAUCUCUACUCUGACUAUGCAUUUUUCAUGUUGCUUUGUAUAUUUUGAGGAUAUAGUUUUCUUGAUUCCAAGGACUUGGUUUGUUUUGGUGUUAUAUAGGAGAGAGCUGUGAAUGUACUGUCGGAUUUGAAAGUUUUGAGCCUUUUGAUUCAACAGGUUACUUUUUUCCUGGAGUGUUUGUUCUGGAAUAGGUGUCCUAGUAUGAUGUGGCAAUGCUGGUAUUUAUUUAUGUUCAGAUUUAUGAAUCUGAGUAUUAGCCGUGCAUCUCUUUGUUGGAUAUAAUCAAGAUAUAAGACAUAAGUCUGUUUUGCAGUGAGUUGAACAUUUGUAGAUACUUGAUACAUUUUGUAGUGAGCUGAUCAAUUUUUUAAAAUCCCUUCCUAAAGUUUUAUUGCUACCUGAUGUUUUCAGGUUUUGCUGUUGUUGAUUUCUUUGAUCUAUUGCUAUAAAGAACCCUCGUUAUGGAUUUUUGGAUUAUAGAUAUCAAGAAUUUAUUAAUUCCUUUAAUCUUCUUUUAUUGAUCAGUUAUCGAGACUUGUUUGCAUAAUUUUUGGAUUAUUGGAUGUAGUUCUUCAUCAUUGGAUAACCGAGAUACGUGUUUAUCCGUUUUGCAGCGAGAUGAAUCUAGAUCAAUUUUGUGAUUCUUGAAAAUUUGGAUAGCAACAGAGAACGGUUCCAGAUAAAUCGAAUGAACUGUGAACUUGAUUUUUAUUCCUUGAUUCUAAAGUUUUGUUUGUUCGUGAGAUCCGUCGCUCAGUUUUGUUUGCUUCGUCAUGUUUCGAUUUCAGGAUUUGCUUUGUUGAUCUGUUGAUCUGAAGAAGUCUAUUGGAUAUAAGUUUUGAUAAACUGGAUAACAACAUAGAACAGCUCCAGAUAAAAAUCAAAUUGAACUGUGAACAUGUGUUUCUUGAUUUGCUCUUGGAUUUUGGUUUCAUGAUUCCAAAAUUUGAUUUUUCACGUUUCUUGAUUUGUUAUCUUGAUUGUUUACUCUGAGAAAUCUUGAUUUCAGGGAUCGUUGUUCUUGUCCAUUCAUGCUAUGGUUUUCUCAGAUUGUAGAUAUGAAGAAUUUUACAUGAUAACACUUCUAUUCACUCUACUUUUAAUGCAUCAUCGGUUAUCAAUAUUUAUUUCAAUAACUUUUGUAUAUGAUUCUCAAUUGAUAAUCGAUAAUCGAGUUAUACAUUUAUCCGUUUUGCUUUUGCAGUGAGUUGAAAAGUUUUUGAUGUCUAGAGCAGACUUGAUACACAAUAGAUAAGAUCGGAGAACGGUCCGGAUAGAUAAAUAAAAUUUCUUCAAUGAAUCUUUUUUACUACUUUUAUUUAUUUUUCGGAUUUGAUUUUAAGACGCGAAAUUGAAUUAAGAACAUGCUUUUCUGCAGUGUGGUUUUUCAAAAUGUUAACCUUCUUCAUAGCAUGGAGUGGAGCCUAGAAUUAUGAUUUGGUGAUCUCUAUUAAUCUUCUUCACAACAUGGUUUUGUGUAUAUGAACAAAAUAGUAUGAAUUCUGUUUUUUGUAAAUUGCUAUAACAAACACUAACCACUAUUUACAUAGAUUCAAUCUGAAGAAAAAAUAAAUAAUAAUAAGUAAUAUAAAAUCUAAUCUUUAAAGAUAUUCUAAGAUGCUUUAAUAUAAUAUCAAACAUACUAAAGAUAUUUUUGGAUAUUUUAACGGUUUGAUCUUCAUGUUAUGUAAUCUUUUGAGGUUUUAUUUGGUUGUUGGUUUUGUUCUUAAUGUUUGCUGUUCUUUGUUUAUUGAUUGAUCUGCUACUAUUAUCAAGUUUCUUUUGUCAAUUGUUUUGUGAAACAGAUGCAUGAUUAUCACCUCUCGUUGAAUUGUGAAUUGAAAACAUGUACUUGUUUACUGUAGUAUGUUUGGAAACAAUGAACUUCAAUUAUGAAGCAAUCAGGUUUAUUUUUGUACACACUUCUUCGAUUGUGAAUUAUUUUCAAUUAAUUUAUUCUCUGUGGAGUUCUAUUGUGCAAUCUUCUCGGCAAGUCAAUUUUGAUGACAAGUUUAUUCAGGUGUAGUGAAUGUUGGUAUUGAGAAGUUCAGUUGUAGGGUUUCCUUAUGCCAUCAAUACAUUUAAGUUUUUGACUUGUAAUCUGACAGUGUGAAAGUUACAAAAUUCUGGAUAAAUUGAGAGGGAACAGCUUUGUGAAGCUCUCUUCCUAACUAUGAUCAGGGACCCGGUUUGGAUGAUUAUGCUACACUUUAUUUAUUCAUAGCUUUUUCUACAACUAUUUUCACAUCGUGAUUUUAUCGAACAAGUAUGAUGUAUCAUCUGGUGUUCACAGGGUGCCACAAAAAUCUUUCUCAAUCACCUUGUUAACUUUUCUGUCUGAAGUGGAUAAAUUAAAGAUGACUUCCUCAAUCACCUUGUCAUGUUUUGCUUUCUGCGGUAUCAUCUAUUGUUGGGAUUAAUUUGGUGAUGUGAAUUUAGAUUUUAACAUCUCUUCAUACAUGAUUCUUGAUUAUUCCCUGCUACCUUGGAAGAGAUUAUCCGAUAAUGGUGAUUCAUCCUUGGGAUAUAAUUGGUCUGUAAUAUAUUUAUAUGUAUAUGUAUAUUUUUUCCCGAAUAAUUAAUUAUAUUUUGAUCAUGUUCAAGAUGGUGUUGAUUGUGUAUCCAGAUCCUUUGUACUACUCUAGGAUAGAUUACAAGAUUUUGGAAUGACUCUUUGGCCUUCCCAAGAUGAGGAAUUUUGGACAACUGGAUAUAAACCUGAUUCUGAUGAUUUGUUUGUUGGUGAUAACUUAACUUUGUUGGGGAGGUUUUCUAAAUCUUUAUUACUGUUUUGUUGUUUUUAUUGUGAUUUGUGAUUUAUGAUGAUGAUGAUGAUACUCCUAAAAAGAUACCCUCUUCAUUAUAGUGACCAAAGGACUCGUCUGUAUUUGGAAGAAGCCAAAGUCAUGUCAUUUCAUAUGGGUACAUAAUUGCAAAUUGGAUGGAAAUUUGGUCAACUGAUCUCUUCUAAGACGCAUCUUUACUUUUCAGUGUUUUUUUAUUUUUAUACUCAACACAUAAAAGGUCAGUUCCUUUGAGUUUUCUUUGUGGUUGUUAUAGGGGACAGAGUCUAUAAAUGUGGUUGUUAUAGGGGAGAGAGCCUCUAUAAAUGUGUGGUUCACUACGGAACCCAUGGCAGCCAGAGAGGUUCACAUACUUACUGUUCAGCUUGGGAUUUUGGAUAGUGUCAGAGUUUUUGUGUAUAUGUAUCGGGAAUGUACGUAUGAAUGAAGCAUGAAAGAGGAAUCCGUGACAACUUGUUUUGGCACCAGAAUAUGCAAUUGGCUGCUGUUGAUGUGCUUUCAUUUGGUUAUGUCUACUCUGACUAUGCAUUCUUCAUGUUUCUUUAUAUAUUUUGAGGAUAUAGUUUAGUAUUUAGUUUUCUUGAUUCCAAGGACCUGUUUUUGCUUUGGUAUUACAGAGGGGAGAGCUGUGAAUGUACUUUGGAUUUGAAAGCUUUUAGCCUUUGGAUUCAACGGGUUACUUUUUUCCUUGAGUGUUUGUUCUGGAAUAGGUGUCCUAGUAUGGUGUGGCAGUGCUAGUAUUUAUUUAUGUUUAGAAUUAUAAAUCUGAGUAUUAGCAGUGCAUCUCUUUCUUGGAUAAUCAAGAUAUAAGUCUGUUUUGCAGUGAGUUAAACGUUUGUAGAUACUUGAUACAUUUUGUAGUGAGCUGGUCGAUUUUUGAUUUCUGGAUAUCUGGAACAAUUUGCAAUUAUUGAUGAUAAUGGAUAAGAUUGAUACAUAGAUAUAUAAUCAAAUUUCAUCAAUAAGUCUUUCUUUAUUACU